GCAGGUACCACCACGAGCCUUUACAACGAAAAGGGCGGGGUUUACAGCAUACUCGAAGCGGUAUAAGACUCCACCAGCAAGGAAACAGUCGAGGCACGAGGAGACGACUCCGUGGGACUCAGCUAGUUGGGUGGUGCAGUUUGGGCAGGGGAUUUGAGUUCGGUUUGGUCCCGAGCUGACUAGUAUGAAAUCUAAGACGGUGCCCGUCCCCACUUCUUGACCUCGUCCUCGGGUGAAAUGGAUAACCUUAUCAUUUCCCAUAUAUAUACCGUGAUGAGCGUAGACAUAGGCCGUCCUCCACGAGUAGAUGUGAUCUCCCGGCUUCAAUCCCUCCCUCCCAAUCCUGUUAGAGAGGAGGCCCAUUGAGUUCGAGCUCCACCGGGAUCGCGGUAUGGGAGGUGGGAGAGGGGAGAGCAGUUGCAGGGAUCACCGCUUUUAGAUUUGGGGCGGC
rnacentral:misc_RNA from 1 species